rnacentral:rRNA from 1 species
GAUGAACGCUGGCGGCGUGCCUAAUACAUGCAAGUCGAGCGAACAGAUGAGGAGCUUGCUCCUCUGACGUUAGCGGCGGACGGGUGAGUAACACGUGGAUAACCUACCUAUAAGACUGGGAUAACUUCGGGAAACCGGAGCUAAUACCGGAUAAUAUAUUGAACCGCAUGGUUCAAUAGUGAAAGACGGUUUUGCUGUCACUUAUAGAUGGAUCCGCGCCGCAUUAGCUAGUUGGUAGGGUAACGGCUUACCAAGGCAACGAUGCGUAGCCGACCUGAGAGGGUGAUCGGCCACACUGGAACUGAGACACGGUCCAGACUCCUACGGGAGGCAGCAGUAGGGAAUCUUACGCAAUGGGCGAAAGCCUGACGGAGCAACGCCGCGUGAGUGAUGAAGGUCUUCGGAUCGUAAAACUCUGUUACUAGGGAAGAACAAAUGUGUAAGUAACUAUGCACGUCUUGACGGUACCUAAUCAGAAAGCCACGGCUAACUACGU